rnacentral:rRNA from 1 species
AGUGAACGCUGGCGGUAGGCCUAACACAUGCAAGUCGAACGGCAGCACAGAGGAGCUUGCUCCUUGGGUGGCGAGUGGCGGACGGGUGAGGAAUACAUCGGAAUCUACUCUGUCGUGGGGGAUAACGUAGGGAAACUUACGCUAAUACCGCAUACGACCUACGGGUGAAAGCAGGGGACCUUCGGGCCUUGCGCGAUUGAAUGAGCCGAUGUCGGACUAGCUAGUUGGCGGGGUAAAGGCCCACCAAGGCGACGAUCCGUAGCUGGUCUGAGAGGAUGAUCAGCCACACUGGAACUGAGACACGGUCCAGACUCCUACGGGAGGCAGCAGUGGGGAAUAUUGGACAAUGGGCGCAAGCCUGAUCCAGCCAUACCGCGUGGGUGAAGAAGGCCUUCGGGUUGUAAAGCCCUUUUGUUGGGAAAGGAAUCCAGCUGGCUAAUACCCGGUUGGGAUGACGGUACCCAAAGAAUAAGCACCGGCUAACUUCGUGCCAGCCGCCGCAGUAA